UACAGAGGUCUCAAGCGUUGUUCGGAUUCAUUGGGCGUAAAGGGUGCGUAGGCGGCGCGGUAAGUCGGAUGUGAAAUCUUGGAGCUUAACUCCGAAACUGCAUUCGAUACUGCCGUGCUUGAGGACUGGAGAGGAGACUGGAAUUUACGGUGUAGCGGUGAAAUGCGUAGAUAUCGUAGGGAAGACCAGUGGCGAAGGCGGGUCUCUGGACAGUUCCUGACGCUGAGGCACGAAGGCCAGGGGAGCAAACGGG
rnacentral:rRNA from 1 species